rnacentral:rRNA from 1 species
GACGAACGCUGGCGGCGUGCUUAACACAUCCAAGUCGAACGGAGAGGCUCUGCUUUUGUGGGGUGCUCGAGUGGCGAACGGGUGAGUAACACGUGAGUAACCUGCCCUUGACUUUGGGAUAACUUCAGGAAACUGGGGCUAAUACCGGAUAGGAGCUCCUGCUGCAUGGUGGGGGUUGGAAAGUUUCGGCGGUUGGGGAUGGACUCGCGGCUUAUCAGCUUGUUGGUGGGGUAGUGGCUUACCAAGGCUUUGACGGGUAGCCGGCCUGAGAGGGUGACCGGCCACAUUGGGACUGAGAUACGGCCCAGACUCCUACGGGAGGCAGCAGUGGGGAAUAUUGCACAAUGGGCGGAAGCCUGAUGCAGCAACGCCGCGUGCGGGAUGACGGCCUUCGGGUUGUAAACCGCUUUCGCCUGUGACGAAGCGUGAGUGACGGUAAUGGGUAAAGAAGCACCGGCUAACUACGUG